GCACAAAACAUUGUCAGAUACAGAAUAUCAAGCAUAUAAUAACAUUUCCAACAUGUCAUAAGGUAGUAAUCUGACAUAUGAGCUGAUGGUUUUUAUGGGUUUAAAUAACUGUAAGAAUCUUGCAUGGGUGGUCCAGCGUGUGUAUGGUCUGUGACCUGGGUGUUCCUCAUUUGCAGGGCAGAUGUCCCUGUUAAUAGGAUUAAGAAUAUAACGUGUGACACUAAAAAUUUAAAACAAUAGGUACGAUCAUCAAGUGAAAAUGUAGUGCGCUAUAGGCUAAAAGUUGAGACAAGGUGUUAAUGCUAUAGCUUGUGCUCGGUUAUCAGUAGCCAUGCGGGUUCAUAAGGUAGCAGGCGCCUAGCCUUAGGGUCAAUGUACGCCUCUGUUCGGAACAGCCAUGUCUGCGGACUAUCUCUGUUUAGCAUUAUCGUUUAACGAGAAACAAUACAUCAUAACUUUGCAUGUUCAUAAGAAUAAUGGGAAACAAACAGAAAAACCAAAAAAACAACAACAACCAAAUAACCAGAAAAAUAGGGUGCCGAGCACCAUUAAGCUAGCGUCUGAUUAGAAGGCUAAUCUGGUGGAGGAUAACGUUCUGGUAUCCAGGGAGCGUGCCCUGUGCCUCAGGUAGGGACUAAUGCCGGGGCAUUUGAGUGUGCCCUUGAUGGUUUAGACGGUGCAGCCUGUGUCAGGUCUCGCAGGUGCUGCGCUAUAGAAAUCCCUCUCGUUGCGGACAAUGAUAAAGAGUCCCUUGGAAGGCCCAGGGUGUCCAGUAUGUCAGCCGCUUGUUGCAGGGUUUGUGCCGAGUAGGUCGCAUCUCCUCGCAGUAUUUGUAGUAUCCGCGGUGACCGCCACCGAUAUCGGAUGUUGUGGACUCUGAGCUGGCUUGUGAAAGGCUAUAGAGAUUUUCUCCAGUGCAUGGUGUCUCCUGGGAGAUCUGCAUAAAAUGAGUCUCAUGUUUUCAAAAACGUGGGGCGAGUCCCCCUCCAGUGCGGUUUGCACCAACAUUUUGUCCUUGAGAGUGUGGAAACGUACAACUACGUCCCUAGAGGCUUGUUCUGGGGCUCCUCCCGGCUUCGGAAUCCGAAACAUGCCUUUGAAGGCAAUACCUUUUGCCUGUUUGGGCUGCAGGAGGGACCCCACCAGCCUUCUCAUGAGGUGCGGGAGCUCCGCAUUUGGUAUCUCCUCUGAUGUGAACCCUUUGGAAUGAUAUGGAUUUCUGCACAAAUUGCUCAUAAAAUGUGAUCUGAUCAUCAUAUAAGUCACAACAAUAGACAAUCACAGUCUGC